rnacentral:misc_RNA from 1 species
GAUGAAGAACGCAGCGAAAUGCGAUACGUAAUGUGAAUUGCAGAAUUCAGUGAAUCAUCGAGUCUUUGAACGCACAUUGCGCCCCCUGGUAUUCCGGGGGGCAUGCCUGUCCGAGCGUCAUUGCUGCCCUCAAGCACGGCUUGUGUGUUGGGCCUCCGUCCUCCUCCCGGGGGACGGGCCCGAAAGGCAGCGGCGGCACCGCGUCCGGUCCUCGAGCGUAUGGGGCUUCGCCACCCGCUCUUGUAGGCCCGGCCGGCGCUUGCCGACACAUCAAUCUUUUUUCCAGGUUGACCUCGGAUCAGGUAGGGAUACCCGCUGAACUUAAGCAUAUCAAUAAGCGGAGGA